rnacentral:lncRNA from 1 species
AACAACCAAACAGUCAACAACAAUGCUACAACCAAUGUGCACACAAGGCAAGUCCUAAAAGGAAAUCAAUCAAGUGAGUUCACCACCAAAGGACCUAUAACACAACAAAGGUUAGUUAAACAAAGUAAAUUGCAUCUCAAGCAAGGAGAUCACAUCAUCCAUUAGAACUAAUUGCUUGAACCUGAAAUGCAAAGCUUAAAA